CAACCCUCCACAGGGUGAGUUUUCUGUUAAACUGUAGUUUAUAACCUUUAUUUGUAUAUCCGAUUUACGUAUUUAAAGUCUAAGGUCAGUCCUUUUGAUUUAAAUUGUGAUUUCAAACGAUUCUCAGGAGUCAUAUCUCACGUCACACUUAUUUUGUAUUUUGCAUGUCAAAUUAAGCAUUGCGAUGUUUAUAUGAUAGUUAUUUUUAUUCCUGCAUUUAUUAUACACAAUUCUCAGU
rnacentral:lncRNA from 1 species